GAAACAAUAAACCAAGAAAAAACAGCUAAUCCUUUUGGAAAGACAAGUCGAGAGAAAAUUGUUACAAAAGGGUGCGAGAAGACCGAAUUCGUUUGCUUUGGAAAAUGAGGUUACCUGCUGCCCGAUCUUUCAAUCACAAGGAGUUCAUUAAGUCUGCCUUCCAGGACAGUUUCUGAUGAACUUAAAAAAAUUAAACACUCAUCGAUAAGUGAUAGUUUGAAAAAAGGCUCAAACUAUGUCUCCGAAACCUCUGAUGAAUUAUGGGAAUACAAUGGCCUUCAAGAUGCAUAUCAAGGUGAAUGUGAAGAGAUGUUGUUAGAAAUGCAAAGAAUAUUUUAUGAGGAUCUCAGGAGAGAGACAGAAGGAAAAGAACCAAUAGAAGGAAUAGAAGCUUGGGAAGAUGAAGAAGAUGAGUACUUGGCCCGUGCAGGUUACAACCAUAUGCAGUUGAACAAUGAGCUGGUGCAGUGACAAUAAACUGUUUGUUUUCUUAGUUUUUUUUUAAUAAGUGUUGGUAUUAUUAAUCCUUAGGGAACGUUUAACAUGUGGCGUUUUGCAGGUGUGCUAAAAUAUUUUCCGGGCACCAUUUUCUUAUUACUUGCAAUAAAUUUGUAUCACUGUCAUUGUUUUAUUUUAUAUAUAUUUGGUUCUAUAUUAUAGUACCCAGGACUAUCAAAUUUCUUAUUACUAAAAUAAAUUUCUACAUAACAAGACUUUCUGAUGUUUAUGGUAGGUGCAGAAACAGAGAUGGUGUCCAGUGUGUGAGAGAGGAGAGUUACAACAGAACCAUCAACUUAUUUAUUGCACCCUUUACAACAGACUAUUUUUAUUGCAUGGCAACUAUUUCUUUGUGAUGACUUUCUUCAUUUGAUUGCUCCAUGUAUCACAUUCUGAAAGUUCUCUUCAUUUUGACAAGUUCCAGCCCAUGUU